rnacentral:lncRNA from 1 species
UGUAAGAGGAAUUGUUUUUUUUUAUUGCAAUUGAAACAAAAAACCUUAAAAAAUUAAAUGAGCUAAAAAUUUUGUUUUUUUACAUAGAGGGGCAUUUUUGUCAUUCAAUCAAAAGUUAAACGGAGCCGUUAAACUUAACUGAGAAAAUAACGGAAUUGGGGGCGUGGUGCAAAAAUGUCAAUUUUUUUGGGUGCGCAGUGCAACAAGUCAAAUUUGUUGGGGACGCGGUGCAAAAUGUCAAUUUAUUUGGGGGUAGGUUACAAAUUUCCCUAAAUUUAAACCCCCCCCCCCCCCUUAAUCUUAUUUUACCCCGCCACUUCCACUUUUCAGUUAAUGUGCAUUUGAAAUUGAGAUUAAACAGUUGUAACUUAAAAGUUAUAGCAUUAAGUAUUUGAUAAAUACUAACUGUUGUAAUUUAAAAAUUAUAUUGAUAUGAUUUUUUAUUUAUAUGAUGAAAAAUCUACUAUAUCUUUAAUAAUUUUAUUUAAAAUUUAUAUUUACUACAUGUUAUUAUUAUUUUUUCACAGCAGCUGUAUCUUAAAAGUUAUAGCACCUCAAUUCCAAACAUGACCUAAAAUUUUAAAAUAAUUUUUAGCAUCUAUUAUACUCUAUCUAAUCCCUACUCUACCCUUAAGCAUUGCUGGAUCUCCAUCACCUUCGCUGUCGUCGUGUGGGGUGGUGUUAUACAAAACUUGGAAUUUAGGCAUUGGGGCAUAGUUGUUUAGAGUCUUCCAAGUAUCUGUUCCUUUUACUGAAUGGAUAAAAUUCUUUACUUUAGAACAUCAAAGUUGUUCAAUUUGAUUAAUAUUGCAGUUCGAAACUGUCUAUGUUCUUCAAUAUUUGAAUAGAAUGUUAAAUUAUUAAUGACUCCAUCCAACUGAAAUAAUCAAAAAUAAACUUGAAUGCAACUCCUAUCAAUUUGCCGAGCAUCUUUUAUGGCAUCAUUUUUGCACUGCUCAUCCAUAAUGUGAGAGAAAAUUAUAUUAAUUAGAUCACCCAUUAUUAAAUGACUUCUUUAUCUUUUAAUGAUUUUGUAUCCCUCUUUCAUGAUUACCGAAGUAAAGUAUAUAAUAUUUGAGAUGAGAUAAUCGUUUAAGAGCAUCUCCAAAAAACUCUUCAAAUAAGAUUCUACUUCUUAUUUGAAGAGUCGUAUCAAUAUUAAACACUCCAAAAGACACGUUAAUUUAGAUUCUUCAAAUAAGAUUUGUUUCUCACUCUUCAAUAUUGCCGAGUGAGUUUCUCCCUCUUCUAUUAAUAUUUUAUUAUUAUUUAUUGAAAAGAUAAGACUGCAAUAAUUAUUAUU